UCGGAAAAGCCAAUGAGACUGGGAGGUAUGCAUAUCACGAUGGCUUACCUAGCAAGCAUCGGAAAGCUCUAUGGCGAUGGUGGACUCUUUGACAUACUAACUGAGUCAGAUGUGUAUGCAGAGGGAACAGCUCAACAGUUGCUUCAAGGGAAACAGCUGGCAGGAGGUGUAAGAAGCAUAAAGCUAGCCUCUGAUGCUCUGUUCAGGCUCUUCUGGCAAGCCAUGCAAUCAUGGCUUGAAAAACAAGGCCAAUGUGCAAUGACUGAAGCACAAGAGCAAAUCCUACGAGAUGUACAGCAUGCAUUUCAUGGUAAUGACAAGGCCACUGCUCAACAGCUCAUCAGUGAGGUGGAGACUGAACUUCCUGAGAUCCAGAAGAGAAUCCAGAUGUUCAUAAAUGAGGGAGUUAAGCAAUCAGCAACCUUUGGAUACUCGUUAAUAUUCCUCAGUGGUGCUGAUCUAUUGCUAAAGAUUCUUCGUUCGGAGCAUGAAGCUGACUUUCAACUUCACCUUAAUUGCAUGUGUGAAGUGAUGCCUUGGUUCAGAGCUGCUGGCAGGUCCAAUUAUGGCAAGUACAUGCCAGUCUGUGUUGCAGAAAUGAAAGCACUUGAACAUAACCAACCAGAAGCAUACACAUUCAUGCAGCAAGGUGGGUUUGUUGUUCGCCGGUCUGAGCAUCGAAGCUUCAACUGUGUGGCUACUGAUCAGGCACUGGAGCAAACCAUUAAUCGAGAAGGCAAGAGUCAGGGUGGGGUUGUUGGCUUCACAUUACGAAAAGGAGCUCUCACAAGAUGGUUGAUGACAAGACAUGUGACCACAGCAUAUGUGGAUGCCAUGAAAGAGCUUUGUGACACUGAUGAUCAGAGCUCGAAAGCACACAAGGAGCAUGGAGCAUCCAGAAUGGACCGAGAUGAAAGAGACAUACAGAAGAUAAUGGAAACUGUGGAGCAGAGGCAGAAUCCCUUUGAUCUUGAUAGCAUUCCUGAGGAACUGAUCAACAUUGCAAGUGGUCAGGUUGCAUCUGAGAAAGUUGCAAAAGAGCUCUCAAGCUUCCUCCAAGAUGGUGUGAAGCAGAAUGCCAUCUUUAUUGAACAACGUCUGGCAAAAUCAAAAAGAACAAAGAGCUUCUGGGAGCUAGAGAAAAGAAACCAGUGUGCAACCUUCAAGGACAUGAAAACAUCAGUUGGAGUCAGCAUAUCUAGAAAGGUCCACAUGGACUCAGA
rnacentral:lncRNA from 1 species